GACGAACGCUGGCGGCGUGCUUAACACAUGCAAGUCGAACGAAAAUACCAAGCUUGCUUGGUUGAUUAGUGGCGAACGGGUGAGUAACACGUGAGUAACCUGCCCCUUACUUUCCUGGAUAACUGCUCGAAAGGGUAGCUAAUACGGGAUAUUCUGACCUGCCUGCAUGGGUUGGUUUGGAAAGGUUAUUUUUUUCUGGUAAGGGAUGGGCUCGCGGCCUAUCAGCUUGUUGGUGGGGUGAUGGCCUACCAAGGCUUUGACGGGUAGCCGGCCUGAGAGGGUGGACGGUCACACUGGGACUGAGAUACGGCCCAGACUCCUACGGGAGGCAGCAGUGGGGAAUAUUGCACAAUGGGCGCAAGCCUGAUGCAGCGACGCCGCGUGAGGGAUGAAGGCCUUCGGGUUGUAAACCUCUUUCGUCAGGGAACAAGGCACUGUCUUUUUGGUGGUGUUGAGGGUACCUGGAUAAGAAGCGCCGGCUAACUACGUGCCAGCAGCCGCGGUAAUACGUAGGGCGCAAGCGUUGGCCGGAAUUAUUGGGCGUAAAGAGCUCGUGGGCGGCUGGUCGCGUCUGUCGUGAAAACUUCCGGCUCACCCGGGGGCUUGCUGUGGGUCGGGCCGGCUAGAUGCGGUAGGGAGAAUGUGGAACUCCUGUGUAGUUUGGAAUGCUCAUAUAUCAAGAAAAACAUGUUUGUGGAAUGUUGGUUAUUGUGUCUUUUUGACGUUAUUGGUGUAUGCUGGUGAGUGACCAGGAUUUUAUACCUUGGAGUGCAGUGUGAAUUCCUUUUGGAUGUUGCCUUAUCUGUGCUGUGGGCUGAAGGGGGGACCAAAAAGAUAAUAUAAAAAUAAUAGAGUGUUUGUGUGAUGCUCGCUAUGAUUUGUUUGU
rnacentral:rRNA from 1 species